UGGAAACAUAAGCAUGACUUUCAAAAUUCAAAAAUCGAAAUUGAAAGAAUUUAUAAUUUUUCAAUUUUUUUGCUGUUGUGCGUUUUCGAAGCGGUUUUCCGUUUUCGUAGCUGUUUUACUGUUUAAAUAUCUACAAUUACUCUCUGUGUAAAAGAUUAUCGACGAAAUAAUGGCCACAGCGCAGCGAAUGUCUAUCGACGAGUCACACUGCGUGUUGUGUUGCGAAGAUAUGGAGUACAGUGCCUGUGGGUCUUGUGAUCAUCCAAUCUGUCUGAAAUGUUGUGUAAAAUUACGUCUGUUGAGAAAGGAAUAUGACUGUCCCGUGUGUAGAGCCCAACUAAAAGAGGUAUCGGUAUUUAUUCACGAUUUUAUGAUUAAUAUCAAAUUUAUUACCCC